CCUCCGAUAGCUUAAGUGGUAGAGCGUUGGGUGCUUAUAGGAGUGCGAUUGACGCCUAGCCCAGAGAUGCUGGUUCGAGUCCAGCUCGGAGGA
rfam:Stereum hirsutum FP-91666 SS1 unplaced genomic scaffold STEHIscaffold_2, whole genome shotgun sequence.